rnacentral:lncRNA from 1 species
CACACACACACACACACACACAUACACUGUCUUUGCGCAACGUUUUCCUUGUGCUCUUUAACACACACACACACACACACACACACACACACACACACACACACACACACACACACACACACACACACACACACAUGCAACCUCAGGUGGAACGGGUGCUUGCGGGCGCCGACCGUUGGUACUUUGACGCAUGGAAGCUGGCGGAGGUGGCGCAGGCAAGUCGGCAGCCGCCGUCCUAUAGCCAGCCGGGACCACCGCCGUGACGUACGAUCCGCGCGCGGCCUCCACUUGAACCUGCUGCACACGCACCUGUUCUCAUGGCGUUGGGCUUACACGGCUUCCGCAUGAUCUGGCCAGCCAUUGCCGGCAGCUGAGUUGUGCUCGGCCGCCCUCCCGCACACCUCGCUGGUCACACGCACGCGUAGGGACAUGCGCUGAGCGCUCUGGGCUACUACCUCAUUCAACGGGAGGGGCUGAUUGACAAGUUCCGACUCAAGCCCGUCAUGCUGGCCAGGUAUGGCCGUACGAGCUAACGUUCUUGUGUGUGCCAACGCGAUGCCCUAUCAGGCUGAUGCAGUCGGAGGUGCUGGUCGGGCAGGGCCUCGUGGUGUUGUGUUGUGGUUGUGUCGGUGCCCUCUCGUGGCCUUGCCUUGACGGGGUGGCCUUACUUGUGCCGCGCCCGCUGCACAGGCUCUUGCGCACCAUCGAAUCCGGGUACAACCCAGACAACCCCUACCACAACGCCACGCACGCGGCCGACGUGCUGCAGACGCUGCACGUGAUCAUCCACGGCGCCGGGCUGCACGCAGGUGGGAGCGUGAGAAGCGCGUGCCACCGCGUUACGGAGUUCUGGUGCGCCCUGCGAACAAUCCAGUGCGGACGCUUUCUUGUCGCGUCGUUACGAUGAUCUGGGAGCCAAGCUACUCACUACGCAAUUGUCGACUUGUGUACCGUAUGUGUGUGUAGGCUACCUGGAUCGGCUAGGCCUGCUGGCCGCCUAUUUUGCGGCCAUGGUGCACGACCACGGCCACCCCGGCCUCACCAACGACUUCCUCAUCGCCACCGGGGACGUGCUGGCGGUGCGCUACAACGACAAGAGCCCGCUGGAGAACCACCACGCCGCCUCCGCCUUCGCGCUGCUGCAGCGACACGACCUGGACCUGCUGGGCCACCUGCCGCAGCAGGACCGCGCCGCCUUCCGGAAGCAGGUGCGCGUGGGGGUUGUAACUACCAGCCCAAACUGAACCAAACUAAGCCAAACUAGCGGAGCACAGGCAGCGGCGACAGGGUUAUGUAAGUGGUUGAGCGGUUGGGUGGGCGGUUGAGGUAGUUGGGAGGGUGGGCGUGGGUGUGGGUGCAUUGGUUGUGGGGAUAGCGGGCCAACAUCUUGGGCAGCUCCCGUUAAGGGGAUGCCGGAUGGUGUGUAUGGCACACAGCGUGCUGGGACACAGGAAGGGCGGGGUUAUGAGGCAGGCCCGGGGAGCAUGUGGUGGUAUUGAUUGAUCACGCUGUGCCUUCGUGACUGAUGGUGUUGCCGCAGGUGAUCGAGAUGGUCGUGGGCACGGACAUGAAGCAGCACUUCACCAUCCUGUCGCACUUCAACACCGCCCACCGCCUGCCCAGCUACGCGGCGCAGUCCGCCGCCGUGCCGGCGGGCAGCGGCGCCGCCAGCGCGGCGUCCACCCCCACGCGCGAAGGCCCGGAGCUCUCACCUCCCAGGUGUGACCCCUGCAUGCCCUCACUCACAGCACCAUCGCACUCCACUCUCGCCCUAUUUUUGCACACAGCCGCACGCAUACACUUGCACGCAUUCGCACAUACAGUUUCGAUCCCACCACCUUGUCCUUUCCUUAUAUACACGCACGCUCAAUCGCCCACACACAACAGUGAGCUGGCAUCGGGAGCCACAGCUGCCGCCGGGUCUCUGAGCGCCAGCCCCACCGCCGCCGUGUCCACCGCCCAGCCGCCACCUGGGUCGGCGCCGUCACCCUUGGACGAGGCGGAGCGGCUGCUGACUCUGCAGGUGGCGCUCAAGGCCGCGGACGUGGGACACCUGGGCGAGGAGCUGUGCGUGCAUGAGAGGUGCGCGAGGGGGAGGCGGGCGGUGGGCAGGCGGAGGGUGUGGGGCGGGAAGGAAGAGGAGGUGCAUGGGAGGGGCGCAGGGCGCAGGGCGCGUCAUGAUGCAUGCGACACACGGGCAGCGAUGACGGAAAGCUGAAGACACGUGAUGGUGGGUUGUGGUUGCAGGUGGUUGGGUGUGCUGGAGGAGGAGUUCUUCCGCCAGGGCGACAAGGAGAAAGCUCUGGGACUUCCAAUGAGUCCACUUUUCGACCGCGCCAAGCAGGGCGUCAGCAAGAGCCAAGUGGUGAGUGACACAUGCCACAUGCUACUGUCUAUCACAGAUUUCUAGGUGGUGAGUUAGCCACACCCAGCAGCCCACGCACUCAUCCACGUCCGCAACAUGACCAUGGUCUGGUUGUCAAGGUGGUGCGGGAACAUGUGUGACUACAAUCGAUCUACCUGUAUUAUUGUUAGUGGACGUGCUCAUGCACAUGCGCACACGCCUCCUAACACAACGCGCCUGCUGGCUAUCACAAACUUCCAUCUGCAGGGCUUCUACGACUUCGUAGCGCUGCCUCUGGUGCAUGCGCUGGCGAGCGCAUUCCCGGGUGCGCGGCCGUUGCUGACCGCGUUCCGACGUAACUACGGCCACUGGCGGGCGGUUGAGACAGCGGCCAGCAACUCUGGCAAGUAGUGACUCCCGCCGGGGUCGCAAGCAACCGGUUAGGAUCACGGCUGCCGCCUGGCGCUGGGGGCCAUUUCGUGAUGGUGGUGGGAUUCGGUUGUGUAGUCAACCGCUCUUUGGGUAUCUAGGGAUGAGGGAGGGUCGCAUUGCGCCAUCCGUGGCAGUGGGAUGCGGCAUUUGGUGCCUGAGGGCCAUGCGGGCGCCUUUGGGGAACUGCGGGGUUACUUCUAUUACUCACCAGUCCGCCUGUGAUUCGGGGUGUUUUGAUUUUAGGGUGAAGGGCGGCGUGCGUUGAAAGACGCACAGCAAUUCAGCCACCGCUGAUGCUGCCAGGUUGGCAACAUAAAAUACUAAUGGCAGCAUAAUGAACAAUGCAUUUGAAGUCCUCGACAGGAGAUUCUUCCACGCUUUCAAUGAGGGAUGGUUGUCAUGUGUAGUGGACGUGGCCAUGCAUGUGUUGAACAAAUUCUUUACAGUCGAUGCGCGUGUAUGCUUUGUCCCUGUUGGGUGCCCGCAUGGACGUGGACAUCACGAGUCAUGAGUCGAGGCAGAAGGCACGCAGUAUGUGCGGACGCGCAUGAGGAAGGAUGAAGAGCACGCAUUGCGCAUCGCUCGACUGAGAUUGAUGCCGCAGCCAAUGUUGAAACAUGCUGAACCUAAACAGACGGCGUCCCCAAUCAUGCCCUCUUGCGGUACUAGUGGAGGCAUGGGCCGUGCACGGUUGGUCCAGGGAUGGCGCAAAAAUGUGCAUGGCUUGUGGGUGGCAAUAGGCGGGGAGGGCAUGGUGCUUCACUGCCCCACUCUGUCCUUCAAUUGACGCGGGUCCACGGAAUGUAGCCGACUGCAAUGGGUACGCGGUGAUUGUGAGACUGCUGAUAGCAGCAUGGGUCUCUUCAUGACGGCGUGUGGCGCUGUUGUAUGUGGUGACGGGAAGCUGACGCUGGUGGGGUUUGGCUAUUGGUCGGGGCUGGGGCUGGGUGGCACGGCCCUUGCCUCGUGUGAUGCGCAGUGCUGAAGGGCAGGGUAGUAUGGACUGGGCAGGGGGUGGUAUGGACUGGGCAGGGGGUAGUAUGGACUGGGCAGGGGGUGGUAUGCGUAGUAUGCUGCACCGCACAUCAAAGCGCGUGGCAGCACGAAAGAGUUGUGAAAAGAGGCCAUGUGGGGUUCACCUCAACAGUUUUGAUCACAAGUCGCUCUGCACCGCUUGCCAAGGUGGUGGUGGUAGUGCGUUCCGCUUAUGCGUGGUGUCACGGGUGUAGAGGACCACUGAGCAGUGUGGUGAAAUAUGCACUGGUGUGCCCUGCAGGUGCGGGCAGCAGCUUGCUGCAGGGUGCACCUCCAGAACACCGUUUGGGCGGGCCGACGUGGGUGAGGUGUACCCUGGAUGCUGUAGGGCGUUGGCCUGAACGGCGCUUAGAACGCAACUGUACAGCAUGGCAGUGCCGCAACGGGUGAUGUGGGUACAAUGAUAAAUGUCAAUCAGUUAUGGGUGUUUGGUCGGUGCUAAUUGGCGUCCCUCGUAACGGCGCUGGUGACCAUGAAAGCCAGUGCGUUUGCUCCUUGCCUAGUUGCCUGCACUUGGUAGGCUACAAGCACGCCCGUGAACCCGUCCGUGUGCUCACUGUGGCUGCGCGGCAGGCGGCUGAGUAAAGCCUGAUGGGGGCUGAGGAGCACAUCUUGUGCCGUGCGUCAUGAGGAGUAGUACGAUAAACAGCUGAAUAACAUGGUGAAUGCCAGGAAGAUGGUGGGCCUGUGUGGUAAAGUCAUUGGAAUUGCCAGCUCGGGGAUGGAGGUCAGCCCGGUGCUGAUGGUGGCGCUGGAUGCGAUUCAUGUGCUGCUGGGGCCGUCGGAGCAGCGCGUGGUGAGCACUGGGGCUACCGUAUUGGGGAUCAGUUGAGAAGGAUGGGCGCGCGCUGCCGAUUGUUCACUCGCAUUGCCACUGUGGCGGUGGUGGCGUCAACAUAAUAUGCGCGCGUUGUCAAGGUAAACCUACCCCUCAGCCCCUGACACUAGCACUUGUUCCGAUGUAUCCGCUGCGUGGUUCUGCAGGACGGAUCUGAGCCGCCGCCGGCGCUGCAGGCGGUGGUGCGGCGGGAGUUGCGGCGGCUGGGCGCGCCGCGCCUGCUGGCGGACUGCGUGCGGGAGCUGCGGCUGCAACAGGCGGACGAGCAGGGCGAGGAGGGCCGGGCCCAGGAGGAGUGGGAGCGGGCGAGCGGGCGCACGGGCCACAGCGGGUAAUGGUCGCGUGCUUCCCGGAGCGGGAGCGGUGACGGGCUGUAACUAGCAGUGUCCUACCCCGCUGCGAAGCUGGGGCCCGCAGGUCCAUUGCUAGCUCCAACGCGACAGUCCCUGGCAGCAAGGACCUGACCAUUCCCAUCUCCAACUGCAGCGUGCCAGCCUCCUACGGCACGCGGUUAAUUUGCAUUUGUAGCUGAUCCUCAUAGCUAUGGUGCCGCAGGAGCCCAGGCGACAGGGUCACGGCCACCGCCGCCUGCCCCGCGAACACGUUCCACAACACAAAAGGCAACAUCACAGCAAGCCAAACCCUGUCCCCCGAAGUAACAGGAGAUGGGAGCUUGAAAGCCUGGGGCCGUGCCGUACGCACGCGUAGGCCCACGUUCUCGCCCACACAGCACGUCUGCUGGCUACCUCCAGAGAGCCAGCCGCAUGAUCACUACGACAUGAAUGUACCAGCAGCAGUUCGUUCCCGACCACCAUUCUUCUGCUGCCGCCGGCACAGGCCCCACACAUGAAUGCGCAACCCACUGACGCGCACUGGUACGGUACACACAGCCCCUGCGAUCCAGCCGCCUCCAGGCCAGCCGGCCCAUCCUCCUCGAACCAAUCACACCCGCAAUCGCACGGCAGUAGCAAGCACAUCUGGAGCUUUAGCCCCCGCCACCGCCCCCGCCACCGCCCCCGCCACCGCUGCGGCCGCCGCGCUGCAGCAGCGCUUACUGCUGCUCGCCGGCGGCGGCGCGGAUGACGUGGCGGUGGCUGGAGUCUGAGCCGCCGGUGGCGCCGCGGCGCACGGCAGCGGCCGCCGCCUCGGCCAGGCGGCUGGUGCCGGCGGCGGCGAGGUCGUCGGGGUCGUUGCGGUCCUUGAUGCCCCACAUGCCGCCGUGCAGCUUGCCGGUGCGCACGUCCUGCUCCAUCUGCCACUCGGGCUCGCCAUACCUGUGUUGUAAUUGGAAACAAACAGAGGUACAGAGUCGACAAGAGUGUAGGCGCACAAAUGCUCCAUUCCUUUCACAUGUUCACACACACAUGCCGCCACGCCCGCCGCCCGCCCGCCCUCACGCCCGCCCGCCCGCACCAGCAGUCGCCGCUCUCCAGCUGCAGGCUGUUGUCGCCGCGGCGCACGCGGAAGAAGCCGCGCUCACCCCAGUAGGUGCCCCUGCAGGCGGCAGGGGUGGAUAGCGGCACAGCACAGCACGUCAGCUAACAAGCGACGAAAACCCCGUGCAUGCACACACACACACACACACACACACACACACACACACACACACACACACACACACACGCACACACGCACGCACACAGGUGCGGUUGAGACACGGCUCUCACCAUCAAUGCAUUGCGAGCCUGAUGCUUUGCAUUGCGGGUCCCACACGACGAACCCUGUCGCUGGUGGGCCAGCCAGGCCAUCGCAGCAACAGCUCGCUAAGGACCCCGGCAACUCACCAGCUGUUGCGCACGAUCCAGUACUUCUCGCCGUCCUCCUCGCCCCAGCCCACAACCUCCACAUCUGCGCAGUCAAGAAGGCCACAGUGUAAGCGAGUGGCAUGUGCUGUUGCGCACGACCACUCCGCGUCGCCCCCCGGGCCGCCAUCCCACCACAUCCUUGCAACCCCCCCCCUCCGCCGCACCGUGGUCCAGCUCCGUGUCGCCGCUGGUGUCCUUGUAGAUGCCGCCGUUGUAGUGCCACGUGAAGUCUUCCGGGCACACCUGGCCGCACGUGAUGGGGCCGCGGUGGUAAAUCUCACUCAUCAUGGCCUGUGGUGGUCGGGGGAAUUAUGGGAGGGCGGAGCAGGGGGCCAGAGCGGUGAGGAAGGGCAGGGCAGGACGGGAGGCCGUGAGUUGCAGGCGUGAAGGCUCACAGGAAUUCCGGCGCACGCACUGUGUACUGUGUACCCGCAACUAGCUAUGCAACCACGCCUACCACCUCCAGCGCUCCACAACUACAAGAGUCAUGCGCAUUUCUCUGAAGCGCCCGCCACGCCACGCCACGCCACGCCACGCCGCGCCACGCACACGCCCCGCCUGCCUCACCUCCACGCCCUUGUCGACCUGGCCCCAGGCAGUGAGGUAGUAGCGGAUGGGGCGGUGGAUGGGCCAGCAGGUCUCCACGCCGUCCAGCGGCAUGCAGUUGUUGCACUCGCCAUGCGCGGGGCAGCGCUUGUGGCCGGGGAACUUGGUGUGGUCGGUGGCGUUGUAGGUCAUGCAGCCCUCGUCAGGCAGGCCGAAACUGCGGGGUGAUUGGUGGGUGGGUGAGUGGGUGGGUGAGUGGGUGGGUAGUGGGUCGGUUGGAAGGAGGGUACGCCUAGAUUACAACACGGAGGGGUGGACAAUAUGGGAUACACUGGGGCGGGGCGGCAGGAGGGGAGGGUGAGGGCCGCCCAAACCGUGACUCGCCUUCCCAAGGGCCGGGCCCCUGAGGGCCGCAGGGCCGGUUGUAAGGCAAGAUACCCCACGGCUGAGCGCACGCUAGGACCGUGCGCGUGCACGUGUGUAUUUGCUUCCGUGCCUGCGUUAGACAGCACAAGGCCUGCGCGUGUGUCAUGUGUGGCCCCGCCACCACUCGCCGCACACUCACUCGGUCAUGUACCCGAACACGUCCACCGUGUCGCCGCCGUCGCAGCCGUUGCCGUAGCCCUCGAACGCCGCGCAGUUGAGCAGCGUCUGGCGCGCCAGCAUCACAUCCGGCGUCUCACCCUUCUUCAUGAUCUUCAGGCUGCGCGAUGUGGUGUGCGAGCGUGCGUGCGGCAGGGAGAGAGGCAGGCUUGCGGUCAGCGCCGUCGAGGACGCCAAACGCGGACGCGAAUACGGUAUCGAGGCGUGCACGCGGCGCCAACCAUGCAGACGAAUGCCUGAGCUCCAGACUCAUGACAUCACAGACGCAGGACCGAAUCACUGGUUGCGCCCGUCUCCCAACGAAGCCUGCUGGAAAUUCACGCGCGUAACCCAACCCGGUUGUGGGAGAUGCGCCCCACCGGUCCUGGAUGGCCGACAAUGUGCCGUGCACCCAGCAAGAGCCGCAGUAGUAGGGGAUGUGCUGAUUCCAGUUGGCGACGCAGUAGCUGACGCCAUCCACGUUGCACUGCGCGGGUGGAGGGAGCGGCGGAGCCGCAGUGUGUAAAGGCGCGGGAAAGGGAAUAAAGGUGUGCGGAGCCCCGGGACCAGCACGUGUCCGCCGGUUUUAUCUCCCCGACUUCGCGGGCCCCGCCCCGCAAUCCCCAGCGCGCAAUUCUGUAUGCUUCCAUGACACAUAGGCGCGCACCCAGUUCCAGUUCUUUGGCAGCUCGUGCUCCUUCUUCAGCGGCGCCGGGACGUGGUUGAAAGACGUGCGCCGGCCCUCGCGGGGCUUUUGCAGACUCUUAUCGCGAGGACCAUGGCCCUGCCAGUUCUUGCCCGCGUCCACGCCCAGCAACGCGACACUCAGGCCAAUUGCCAACACUGCGAGCGCCCGGCAAAGUGGGCCGUGCAUUUUCAUGCCGGGUACUACUAAUAGGAUCACAGGCACACUAACAAAACAGUAUUCAGAAAGUACCCUACUGACGUAAAAUCCCGCCGAUUCUGGCCUCAACGGAUGACGGAUUGCCCGAGUCCGUGUCUUGGAACUAGUUAUGAUAAACACAAGUUAUAAGGCUCUAUGCCAGCAAACUAACAAACGUCGUCCGGAGUGCCGGAACCGACAACGUGCCAUACCCUUGCAUUCAGCACUCUGCCUCCAUAUGCCCCGUCACACACGCGUACACAGGUCCGGCCACACCUCUCCCUGGCCCUCUUCCUGGCCCUGAGGCCUGAGCAUGUGGAUGGAUGGUCGGUUUGGCAUGCCGGUGUUGGUCUUGUCGGCCGCACAGCCAGUGUUUAGGCCGCUUUUAGGCCUAUGGCGUGGGGGCCCCCUCCCCCGCGCUGCUGACUUGCACGAGCGGUACCUGGUGUUGUCCACGUGCCCACGCCGUGUUGGGCGAAUACGCUAACCUUCACUGUAUGGACGUGCAAGGACGUGCGGGGGCUAGGCGUCGGACCAUGCUGCUGAGGCCGUUAGGCCCAUCGAUGCUCGGGCACAUGGCGUCCAUUACCCCUUUGAAGUAGCCCGGAAAACGGGAGACACUGUCUAACGCUUCCACACCAUCAACUCUUUCCUCAGACUUUGGUUUCGAUCAAGUCCAAACUAGAAUGGCUCGACGAGCCUUGCACAUUACCGCUUUCGCGAUUUUGCUCACGUCUCUGCCGCUCUUAGCGAUCGCCGACCCUGAGGACAGCUAUGCAGAUCUGGCUGCUCGCGUGGUGCCGGCGAAAUUGCGGCAAGCCCUAAAGCUGCUGCCGUGCUUGACCGCGGACACGGGUGAGGCGCUCGGACCGGCGCUAGUGCGCUACUGUGCAGAGCUCGAGCCGGCAAGCUUUGGAGCGCCUGUGUGUGUACGUGGCUCGUAUCGGCUGUGGUGCCGCUUAAUUUGGGGGUUCCGGCGCGGGGGCUGCGGGGGCUGAAGGGGCGGUUAGGGUUUUCCCGACGGCAAACAGGCUACCCCUCCGGCCGCCUGCUAGCCGGGCCCGCCUACUCCAGCCUACACCAACAAGCCGGCAAUCCAACAUGAGCAAGCAUGCGUAUAUUGCCAUAGUUAUCUUGUUUGGACCAAGGACACAGAAAGCAGCUGACGAGGCGCCGCGUCAGCCUGCGAACCUCUGCCUGGCGCCGGGUUCCCCUACCACCGCCUGCCCCAACCAGUCCUGUCCUUCCCUCCUUCCUGCUCUCCGUGCGACGCGCUCCCCCCGCCACAAACAAACACGCACCUUGUGCUCUUUAGCACACAUACAGAGCCGCUGUCUGCUUGCGCAUACUUCACAUGCACUGAUACACUGUGUCGAACACUUGCCCUUCCACUUGUGCUUUCCUCUUUCCUACACACACACGCACACGUGUGUUCCAGGCCCCGGCGAGGUCAAGCCGCUGCGUGUGUCACUGCUGGAGGCGCGCGAGCAGCUGGACGUGUUCAGCUUCGCCUUCCCCAACCGCAUCCGAGACGCGGAGCCCCUGGCGUCCGCCGAGGUGCUCACCACCUGGGGUCGCGUCAAGGCCGCCAUCGGCGAGCUCCUGAGGGCCAUUGUCGACUGGAUCAACAAACACGUGAUCGACACAGGCGUCAGGGGGCUGGUGCGGCGCGGGGAGCCGCAGCAGCAGCAGCAGCAGCAGCAGCUGCAGGCCGCGGCUGACACGGCAUACCACCGGCACAAGGGGCGGGACCUGUGGCUGGACAUGCGUGCGGACCUGGAUGAGGGGUACGAGGUGCUGGGGGACUUCCAGGUGUGUGUGUGUGGGGGGGAUAAGGGGGGGAGGGGGGGGUGGAACGGCGCGGGUUGUGGGAGAUGAGGAAGGGCCACGAUUGACGCCAGUGCGCUGUUUGCCACGCCCUGUCACUACACGCCCAGUCACAUACGGUACCUGCUUCCACUGCAGCCACCUGGUGUCCGUCCGGUACUUAACGCCUGACUGGCUUCGGGUUUGUCUGAGUCAUGUCAGGCCUUGCAAACUCGUGCCCUGUCCGUCCCUUUCCCCUUAACUCAACCCCUCCUACACCCCCGGGUUCGGUUUAGUUUGGGCUGGAAUCUACAGCCCCCUUCUAACGCUUUCUUCACUGUUGGGACAUGUUUCGUUGGGAUCGGGCAAAUACCCCUUGCCCCGCGCUCUGUGGGCUGGUUCUGGGUUUUGGUUACUUUGGGACUGAAAUAAAGUAACCCUCCUUUUCCUGCCCCAGGACCUGGACCACUCGCUUGUGGAGUACAACCAGACUGACAUGGAGGUCAAACGGGCCGUGUGCCUGGACUGGCAGAGGCGCAUCAGCCGCCACAGCGCCACGUGAGGGCGGGGAGCGGGGAAGGGCGGGGAGGGGGAAAGGGUGGGGAGCGGAGUCUUGGGCCUUGGGUCUGCCCCGUGGCGGGUCCGUACGUGCCGCAUGGCUGCCGCGCUGUGUCUGGCGUAACCCAAACCCCGCACGCAACGCGGUUUCCCACGGCUCCUGUCCAUACUUGACCCCUGCUGCCCGCUCUGCCCACGCAGUGACCGCUAUCUGGAGUUUGUGAGCACGCCGCUGCACUCGGACGAGCUGUACACGCACAAGCACUCCAGCAAGUGAGGCGCCGCCCGAACCCGUGUGUCGCACGUGCGUCGCAUGGGUCUGCAGGACGCGCCGUGUGCGCGUGUUGCCUGAAUGAGGAAACCCAACGCUGAUGAUCCGUUCGGCCGCAGCGCUGGCUGCACUGCCACAGCUCUCCGUGUCCGCCUCACAUUAUUGGUCGCCUGUGCACCUGUUGCAAAAUGCGCACACGCCGCACCCGGGGGCUCCUGUGCCCUGACGCCAUCAACGUGCUGCCUGUGGCGCCACCCACACCGCCAUCAGCACCACCACCACUACCAUCACUAUCUGGCAUCACGCCUCCUCCACACCCCUCACCCUGCCCCCCUCAGGCUGUUUUGGGGCUACAACGGCGUCACUCCCGACACGGCGCUGACCGGGCUGCAGAACCUGGCGCUGAUGAUGCGGAGCAGGUGUGUGUGUGUGUGUGUGUGUGUGUGUGUGUGUAUAUGCGUGUGUUUGCUUUUGCGUUUGUGUGCGUGUGCGUGUGUGUGCGUGUGUGUGUGUGUGUGUGUGUGUGUGUGUGUGUGUGUGUGUCAGGCACGUGCGGGUGUGAGGUGGGGGAAACACACGUGCGGGCGGGGGGCAUCAGUCCGCGGGCGGGCGCCGGGCGGGCGCUGCGACCCCGGGCAGCCCGCCGCCACGCACAGGUGCGCGCCCUGUCUGUGCCUUUACCGCAUACGUCUUGCCUCCACACACUCGGCCCUGGCCCCAGCCUGAGCACACAACCCCCCUCGCUCGUUUGCAUCGGGUUUGGUUUACCUGGGCUGGUAUUUAUCCCCCCCGUGGCUGUUCCCCAAGAUUGUCUACCACUUCCAUUAGUCAUUAUGAAUGUAACCCCCCCUGUACACACCCGCCCGCAGUCAGCUGGCCCAGCUGCUGGCCUGGUACCCCAAUGUGACGGCGCUGCAGCCCGAUGACCUGCUGCAGGUGCGGGGCGUGGCGUGGGGAAGCGGGCGCAAUGGUGCAUGCAGCUCCCACCCGGGAUGGAGUGACACUGGGGCUCCGCGGGGGAUCGGGCUCCGUCCUGCGGCGUGUGGACAGACUGGAAGAACCUGCUUCACGUGUGUUGUCGAGUCAUCCUAUCCACCCACCCCACCCCAAUCACCACAGGACCCCGGCCACACCACCUUCCACAAGUUUCGCAAGCUAAUCAGGUGCGUGCCGCCGGGGUCAUGUGCACAAGUAUGGUAUGGAUCCAGGAAGCUCAUGUAGAAAUGGGUGGAGCGGCCUUCGUGCUGUGUUGCUUGUCAAGGCGUCAUGUCUUUGCUAGCCUACUUCCCGGUACGCGAUAUCUGCACAGCAGUAUGUGGACCGCUAUGAUAGAGCAUUUUGUAUGCAACGCCAUGCAAUUGUUACAUAGCAUCGUGGCCACAUCAGCAACACUGGAUCAACCCGGCCUACCCUCCACCAGGUCUAUUCUGGCGGUCCUGGCGGAGUUCCCCGAGCUGCUGGGCCCCGGCCGCAAGGAACCACACACCCGUGUCGCAGAGGUGGAGGGGGAGGCGCGGGCUGCCGCCGCGGCCACCACCCUGGCUGCGCGGCGCGCCCUCUCCAGCUACUCCAGCAGCAGCAGCAGCAGCAGCAGCCUGCAGCUACGCCGCAGCGGCGGCGGCGGCAGUGGCAGUGGCAGCCGCAAUGACGGUGUGGCGGUGCGGGACCCGUGUGACGCGGGUGCGGCGCUGAAGGCCCUCCAGCGCCUGUUCCACGACCUGGGCCAGACCAACGACAAGGUGCGGGGGGCAGGGCCGUGUGUCGGAAUGGUGGGCGCGUGUGUGGGUUGUGGGCUUGGGCACGGGCAGGGGACCUGGUAUGUCCGUGCGGGGUUCCGACGUCGAAGCGGCUGCGUGAUGGCAUCCGCGGCCAACACAAACCCCCUGCGAGCGGCUCGACACCCAACCUGCUGCGGUCUCGCCCGGCGGCGGGUCCGUCCCGGCGCUGCGCCCUCCCUACUCAGGUAUUCGCCUACCAGUUCUACUCCUCCCGCGGCGCCGAGUGGGCUGCCGAGGCGGAGGAGGCGCACCAGCAGGCGGCGGAGGGCUGGUCUGACAACCUGGACUUCAUGGCCUCGGCGCAGGUGGGCGCAGUGAGGGGUUAGUGUGAAUCGGUCCCAAAGGAACCGAGACCCAGGACUCGGGGGGGGGGGGGGAGGCGGAGGCGCGGGCGCGGGCGAGACUGGUGGGAGCCUGGGAUCGGGAGGUUGUCGAGUCGCUCUCAGCUCACAUCAGACACGUGGGGACUGAGGGGCUGGAGAGGAUGCCGGCUGUACGGGGGUAAGGAACAACAGAGGGGAUGUGGGUCGGGUCGGGCGUCGUGCGGGUUGUGGGUGACAGCGGCUGGUGCCGCUGGUUGCGAUAAAGCAGGCAUCCAAAAUCGCUUGUUCCGCAACCAUGCACCUUCCAGGACAAUGCCAGCGGCUCUUGGACUGCAUUUUGUGCCUGGCCGUGUUGCUUUCGCACAUGCUUUUGCGAGCUCGCCCCCUUGCCUCCCCCUUCUGAGAUGGAGAACAGCGGCAUGUCCCCUGUCCCUGCUCCCCUCCUCCUCGUCUCCCUGUCCUCGCGUUCCCCUCCGCGCCUCCGCCCGCUCCACUCAGGUUGACGUCAUGGCUCGGUGCAUUGCCGCCACACUGCCGCGGGGGGAGCAGCCGCUGCCCCAGCGCCGCCGCCGCCACAUGUAGAGCUAGGCGGGUGGGCAUUUGCAGCCCUUGUACUACCCGCAAUGGAUCAUAAAUACAUUUUACAGCCGUUGCAGCGCGUGCUGCAUGCAUUCAUGCUAGCGUUGGUUCUUUCACGGCGCUUAAAACAGCCGCAGUAGCCCGGUGGAGUAGCAGUCAGACGUGCAAACGUAUAAGGAUGUUGGGGGCUAAGCUGCGCGCUCGCGUGCGCUCGCGCGCACACGCCCAGCUACUGUGCGUAGCUGCUGCGGUGGCGGCGCCAGUGACUCCAAUCAUGUGCUGCGACCCAGCAAAACUGUUGUGUGCGCAUGCGUUUCAGUAAGUUGGGAGCGCUUGUUGGCGGCAGGAGUUUGUGGUGCAGGGGUAGUCAAGUUGUUGAUCGUGUCUGAGGCCUGUUGCACGCUCGGCACUUUGAUUCGAGGCUGGCAUGGGUACUGCUGCUCGAGAGCACGCAUCGCUGGGCUGUGUGUUGGGCUUCUGGGACUGGGAUGCAGACGUGUUGCUCAAAUGCAGUUUGCAACAAGCGCGGGCCUCACAGUGCCCUCCACGGGUGCGACAGCCCCCAUUGUGUAUAAGGGCCAUCCGUGGCUCUCGCCAACGCGGCGCCCCCACACGCGAACAAUGUGUUGGGCUUGCGCCUAGGACAGACGACCACUUAGGACGCUGUAUGAGGGCCAGCGCUAAGACAGGAUCAACCUUAUCUAGCUCCUUACAUGAACGGACCUAGGCCGGACGGCUGGGGAGUUGCUUUUAUUCCGGUUGCACCCGGGGGUUGCAUCUAUCCGUAUUGAUGUGUUGCGGGGGCUUGCAGGCGUGGUUAAGAUGCUUUUGCAAGGGUUGGCUAGCUCUUAAGCCCGGGCGCAUCAUUGCAUCGGCCUCUUUUGAUGCUACUGUAAGGUUUGGCUGAUGACAGCUUUGCGCACGCAAACGUGCUUGGAUUGGGUCGUCAAGCUUCAAAAGACGCGUUUCGCAUGGCCUAUGGCGAUAACGUGCUUCCAGGUGCUGAAGUAGCCGCGUUGGCGCGCGCGAUGGCGGCCAUCAGCGGUUCGCCGCGGCCAUCGAGACUCCCUAGAGGGCACGGUAAGUCUUCAGCUUCAGUCCGCUACUCGAAAUUGGUGUGCAUGGAGUUCAUAGAGGAUAUGACUCACGGUACUGCAGCUGCGCAUUGACAUUGACGAGUAGGGCGCGCGCCCUCCGAGUGCGCGCCAACUGCACCCGGGCAGCUGCCGAUGUACGGCGCUCGUCCGAGUUCUCCUAGCAACCUCUCAUGAGCCAUCGCAGUAUUAAAGCACUGUGGCAUCGACAAUUUCUUACAACCCUAAGCAAUUACAACUGCGACAUCUUACGAAGCUCAUCAGGUCAGACUUAGCGUUUUGCAACAAUCAGCCUCUUCAUCACCAAACUGCAAACAUGAAUUUAGCAGCCAUAAAUAGGGUCAAAGUUUUAGUAGCUGUCUGCCUGGCAAUCGCGGCGCCAACACACGCAGCGGGCACCGGCGCGCGGCCUGAAUCGGUGGCGGCCUUCCUGCGCGGCGGCAACUUGCCAAGCAUGGGCAACAUAGGUGAGUACUUGAAGGCAACUGGGGAUGGGCUGGUAAGGGGUCAGGGGAUUGUAAUCAGCAGCGUCCAAUCUGGCUUACAGCGCCAACAGACCUUAGACUAAUGUUAACGACCAGCACCAGCACGCACAAGCACCGUGUGUGAUGUUGUGACCAAACCCGUUCAACACUCACUUCAUUUGCACAUAACUGUCCCUGCUGUGCCGCGCAGGUGCACUGGCAGCAGGGACUUCAUCCAUCACUCCCGCUACUCAGGCAGCCGCCACCAGCACCGCCCGACCGCUGCAGCGCCUGCUGCAAUCCGACCCCACACUGCCCUUCACCUGCACCGGCAUCUCCCCGCCACAAAACUGCAAGCCGUCGCCGCUCUUUGGCAACAGCAUGGACUGCAGCCAGGCCACCUGCCCCCUGGAGCCCGCGGACGCCACCACGUUUGAGGACUGCGUGUGCGCCACGAACUGCCGCGGCGCAGUGAUGAUCGCGCAGUGCGCGGUGGGCUACAGGCAGUGCGACCAGAGCUGCGUGCCCUUGAUGCAGACUGGCUGCCCCAGCUCCUGCUACCUCAAUGUAAGCCUGGGUUCUAGCCGCCUGGGGUGGGCUUUAAACCUUACUUUGGAGUUGCGAGGCAAGGGUUGGCAGUCGUGUAGUCAAGUGUCAUCAAGUCUGUGGGAGUAGUCCGGGGCCCUGCUGCUGCCGGGAAGUCAGGCUGUGCACCAGCAGCCUGUCAGGCAGGGGUGCCGCUACUAGUCACAGCCUCUCUUGCUGCCGCACCCAGUAAAUUAGGGCCCCUGCCGCAACACGCACGAUGACUCACCUGCGGCGACUCACCUGCGGCCCAAUGUGCCCCUGCCACCUCCCCCCCCCACCUCAUCCACCGCCCACCCCUGCAGUUGGCGUUCUACACCUACUGCCGGUGUUCACCGGCCGAGGUCGCGGAGUGCGUGCAGUCGGUGGUGGAGGCAGUCAAACAGACCUACCUGCAAGUGUGCGCCAAGCUGCCGCGCCGGGAUGGCAGCCCCGUCAACGCAUUGCCGCCCCAAACCUGGGAGCCCGCGCCCGCGCCCAUCCAGCCGGAGCCGGAGCCAUUCCCUGAGCCGGAGCCGUCCCCUGAGCCGGAACCGUCCCCUGAGCCGGAACCCACCCCUGAGCCGGAACCGUCCCCUGAGCCGGUGCCAUCAUCUUCUCCCUCGCCUACCCGCUCGCCCUUACCUUCGCCUGCUGCUUCUCCAUCACCCUCCCCAUCCCCCAAGCCGUCGCCCUCCCCGGCCCUCCGGCCACCGCCCCCUUCCCUAAGCACCCCGGAGCCUGACGCCCUCUACGGCCCGCCUCCAGCGUGGGAGGACGCCUCUCCGCCGCCGCCCUCCCCACGGCCGCCACGCCCGCGCCCGCCCAGCCCCAAAGCCUCACCGCCGCCCAGCCCUCAGCCCUCUCGUACUUCACCCAGCCCCGUGCCUCUCCUUCCUCCCCAGAGCCCACAGUCCCCGGAUCUGCCUUCUCCCGCCGAGCCUCCCAGCCCCGAGCCACCCAGCCCCGAGCCACUCACCCCCGAGCCACCCAGCUCUGAGCCACCGUCACCUGAGCCGCUGCUGCCGCCCCAGAGCCCCAGCUAUGGACAGCCCACGCCGGCCCCUUCCUACAGUCCUGCUCCCCCGUACGGCGGCUCGUACCCGCCUUCGCCUGUGUACGGGCCGUACGGUGGCGUUCAGCCGCCACCGCCUGCUGCUUACGGGUCGUACGGCAGCCCUCCUUCGCCAGUGUACGGCGGUUACAGCUCAAGUCCGUCCCCCUCCGCAGCUUAUGGGUCCACCGAUACGAACCGUCCGCCUCGGCCGCCACGCAAGCUCCAUUCCCGGCCGCGCCCCGUGCCGCAGUGAGGGGCUAGGGGCGUGCUCCCGAACAUGCAUUUGAAUGAAUUGCAUGGUACCACGCAGCAGGUGCAGGCAAAUACAAUACGGUAUUCGUACAUAUAGAGGAAUGCCGCACAAAAGCGCAUUCGCAUGUUGGUGUGUGCGUGAGGUUGAGCAGUUUCGAGCAGGGCUUUCCUGUACAUACUUCAUCUGUACAUACUUCAUCUGUCUUCAUCGGUGCGGAACUGCAUUGAGCAGGCCAGUAGCGGGAGCUAAUCAGGGAUCCGCGGGUCGCCUCCGCCUCGAAGCAUCUUAUUUAUCACCGUAUUGAAUGUAAGCAUGGUGUGGGCCUGAGUAACAGCUCUAUGUCCAGAGCAGUCCAGAACCGUGUGCAUGUCUCUGGGUGUCCAAUCCCAGCAGCGCCGGCCUGUAGCCUUUGCCCGGUAGUCGUGUUUAUAUGUGGGUGUUCCUAUGGUGGUACGGGGGGGUUGGCUGCACACAGGAUCAGUACAUUCACGGACACACGCAUGGACACGCAUGACGUACAACGCAUGGUGUGGAGCGGGGGACGGAGGUUCGCUGCGAACGUUAUGAGCUGUAUGGGGCGGAUGCAAUGACAUACUGUAGUGGGUGGCGCAGCGGACCACGCAACAAACAUUUGCAGGAUGGCACAUGAGCAUGGCAUCUCCACCUGACGAGGUUGCCGCACGGGGUUGCCGGUCAAGGGAGCUGCACCGGGUUGUGGUGUUGGCAUGCAACUCGGGCGUCAGGUGCCACGGGCUGUAACACGUAUUUCGGUAUUUGUGACAAGACACCAACCAUGGUGCUUACCCGUGUCCCCCGAGCCUGAACGCCACCAAUCAGUCACUGGGAGCCCCAGAUUGGCAGGCCUGCAAGGCAAUUGCGGUAGUUGAUGUCAGGCGGCGCCGCUCCCCCAAGGCUGGUUUCGCUUCCCCCUUCGGCCCCAACCCAAUGUCCACUUCCGUAGGCCCAGGGACAUGUCAUCCUGGAAAAUUGGAAACGCGUUGACUUACACUCGGCUGGGUUCUUCUUCUCGAGGGGGUAUCGCGGAGAUAUCCGAUGAAUGAUAGCUAGGGAGCUCUCCAGUGUCGAGUGACCAGACACACCCCUUCGCAUUGUACACGUAACCAGCAGGUGAAUCCACGAGCGUGCAGAGCAGCGUAUGUGCAGGUCCUGAUAGUGCAUCGCCAACAACAGUGCUCCCCAGUGUACCGGUAGGAACGCCACCGGGACCAGGGCAUGCCGGGACUACCGGGCCGGCCAUCAUUGCCACGACAGCCAUCUGCAGUAGGUGUGGCUCAGUCAAUGUUAUUGAUACACAUGUAACACAAGUAUCUUACUAAGCUAUAUUAUAACUGCAUUAUAAAUCGAACGAACGCGUAAGAACUUCCGAUUCCGCCACCCACGACGACCUCGUUCACAGUCACUUCACAUUCUGCGUCCUUACGCUUCCCAAGACUCGUCACUAAAACCAACAUCCAGCUGCAAAUCACAGCGCACUGCACGAGUCGGUCGUCGACUCACUUGGCCGCGAUGGCGUCGGUCGCGCACUCGCACUCCCUGUCCACACCCGCUGUCACCCCUAAACGCUGCUGCCUUAGCGCUCUGACCUCGCCGCUAGCUCGAUGCAUCGGGCCGCUGGGCCACGCAGCGGCUUCUCGGGCAGCGCCGACGUCCCACGCCUCAGCAAGCUCUGGUCCCGCGCUCUCAGUGCACGCCUCCGUUUUAACGCCCCAGCCCGCAGCUCUGGUAACACCGCGUCCCCAGUCGCCAGCAGUCCCUGCGCCUCUCGCACCGACUCUCAGGUCACUGCUGCUCUCCGCAGCCUCCAGCUUGCCGUGCACGCUGCUGGCAGCAGCUGCCUGCUCCGCUGCGGAGCGCUCGGCCUCCGCCGCCGCCACCGCCGCAGCACCAGCAUCAGCAUCAGUGGCAGCAGCACUGACGUUUGAGCCUCGGGCACCGGAAGCGGGCGUGCUGGCAGCCCAGGUGCUGGUGCUGCUGCUGACGGCGGGCGCUGGCGCGUACUGGUGGUACGUGGUGGUGCCGACGGAGCGCGCGGCGGUGGGGCGUAGCAAGCGGCUGGGCGCCCUCAACAACUACCUCGGAGAGCUGGAGGCGCCGCAGGCGACACAGGAGCGCAAGUGGGUAUGCUAUGGUGAAAAUGUGGGCUAAGGAGCUAGGGAUGGAGGGACGGUAGGAGUGAGACUGGACGGCGGUCGUGGUGGGGGGCGCGGGUGCAGGUUCGGCUAACAUAGUGGCAACGAGACAGCGUGGGCGGACCCGGCUGUGCUUCCGGCAUGCUCUUGCCUCAGCCUCCCAUGCACGUUAUCCUUUGCCGCCCAGACUGGAGCGCUGGUUCUACACCGACUGGCUGCAGCAACGCGAGAAGCGCCGCCAACGGCUGGGCAAGCCUGCGGCGUCAGCCGCCGCUGCCGGCUCUGCGGCAUCUCCCGCCGCUGCCUCUCCCACGGCAACCCCUGCCGAUGCCUCCGAUGGCGGGGCCCCGAGCCCAGAGGACCCGUACACUGGCGAGCACGUGCCGUACAGCGAUGACCUGCUGCGACCCACUGUGGAGACGCCCACGCCGCGCUUCUUGUCCCUGGACAACCCGUUGGUCGCCACGGCGGCGCUGCUGACGCUGGUGGGCGUCGUGUCCACGCUUUUGCAUGGGUAAUGGGUGUGAUGAAGUGGCCUAGGGUCGUCAGCGCCCCAAGGGAUACAUUGCGGCUUUUCGUGUCCACUGGGUAGGUUGGGUAGAUAAUCAUGCGAACAGUGUGUAUCAAAGAUAGAAGUGCCGAGUACCCCUGCACCUGGCUUUCGUUCUCUUUGUACGUCAGGACGAUGAGAAAUGCUUGCUAAUACGACGUAUCAGUGGUGGGGGCUCAGCCUGCUGUGUUGAUGCUGUGUUGAGAGUGGGCAGUGGAGGCGUGCAGGGAGCGGCUGCGUAGAUUAACACAGGUGUCCUUGCUAGGACUGUGGGCUACGAGGAUGGGGGUUGUCUCGCUUGGAGCGCAAGUGGCGUGAGCAAGGCUGCAAGGGCUGUGCAGUGUGCAGUGCCUGGCAGUGUUUGUGAAGGCGUUGCGGCGUCGGCACGUGCACACCUGAUAUGAAGGCUACUACCACAUGGGAAAUGCAAGCCACCUAUGUGAUGCACGUUUGUGAUGCUACCGUUGCUAUUGUAUAGGAGUAGGACUGGCACGACGAGAGGAUAGUAACGAACGGGGCAAGGCAACGGGGAGCAUGUCAUUGGAGUAUGGAAAGUAGCGACACUCAGCGACUGGACUUGCCGGCUAGCGGGCACUGGCGCUGAGCAGCAGGAGACACAUGGCAAUCGCUUGCAGAGCUACACAGGCAUGAACUGCAAGGUCACUAGAUGAGGCAGGCUUUGGCGGCCCGGGUGUAUCACGCCCGGGACAGAGGAAUACCCACAGCUGCAACACUAUUGUAACUCAAUAUCGAGCACCGACGAUGCACCGUGGUUGCUGCCCGCACACCCACAUUAAGCCCACGCAACCCCGUGGCCCACCGCAGCACCACCGAACGCUCGACGUUGCACGCAAAUGGCGGGCUCUCCCCGUCGGCUACCACUCUUGGGCUGCUGCAGGGAAUUCCAGUAUUUUACUUACCUGCUGGUCAACGGUCCGGCUGGGUGUGCGAUGGGACAGUUGUAAGGCAGGUUGGUGAAGUCCCGUAGGGUGCCGCUGGAUGUGCGAUGGGACAGUGGUAAGGCAGGUUGGUGAAGUCCCGUAGGGUGCAGCUGAUUCCCAGAACCCAACAGAUGGCACACAAUUGGCAACGGCAGGGCAUGAGUGCGCGGCUGGUCGAACGCCGGGGUGAUUGUACCGACGAGUUGCUGGCUGGCUGGAAGGGUGCUGAAGCGCAUUCCGGUCCAGCUCGGUAGCGUUCCCAUGUUCCGAAUCCUUGCCGCCCUCGCACACCCUAAAGCAUCCCCUAGUCCUUGGCCACCACGAAGCGGCUGACUGGCUGAUUCUCAGAUACCCAUCCCACCUUCAAAGCGAAACCCACAGGCACAGGUACAACUCAUGUCGCGUUGACUUACACUCGGUUGGGUUUUUCUUCUCGGGGGUGAGAUAUCUGAUGAAUGAUAGCAUCCGAUCUCUCCAGUGUCAAGUAACCAUGCCUAACCCUGAUGCCUAGGGUAUUGUACACGGUGCCGCCACGUAACCAGCAGGUACGGGCUAAUUAUUGUGAAGUCACGCGCGUUUGGGGGAAACCAAUAGCAGCGUAUAUACAAACGCAAAACCGCAUAACCUCAGAACACCAGCAAAACUGAGACCCAAAAGUCUCAAAGAAUGUCCUUGCGUCAUGCGAUCACGCUUGGCUUAGCCACACACCAACAACACACACACACACACUCUCAUUGCACUCGCUCAAACACCAACAAACAUCACACACGGCUCAGAUCGACGAGCGCCUCCAUUUACACGGAGCGCUUGUUGGCGGGCUGGAAGUCGCGGGCAGUCUUGGGGCGCUGGACCAGGAAGCCCAUGAUCUGCACCUGCUUCUGGUUGUCGAAGGCCACCAGGCGCACGUAGGCAUCGGGGAAGGCCUUGGUGCAGGCGACGAUCUCGCGCAGCACCUGCAUGGGGUCGCGGCAGCCGAACAUGGGCAGCUUCCACAUGGUCCAGUAGCGGUUGUCGUAGUACAGCUGCGGGCGCACGGGAAAUGGGAGGGAGAAGAGGUUCAGUCACCAGCGCACAGAACCACCAAAGAUGGAAUUGGGCCCCUUGCUUUUCCGUGCUGAAGCACGAGCAGGGGUAUGCGUCAGUUCCCCGCGGUGAGAUAGGCGCUGUCCCGGUGCCAAGCUAACCCAGUGCCACAGUGGACCCGUCUGGCUCUCGCUCCGACUUACGCAAGACACGCUGCCGAAGCGGAUGGCCGACUCGUUGGACACGUAGGCCUUGUCGGCCUCAGCGAACUCCAGGCAGGGGAUCCAGCCUGCAAGCGACAGCACGAAGGGGGUAAGAUAAGUGGCCGACGCAAGCAGUCCAGGGCUAUCCCAGAUAAGGGCGGAUGACAGGCAAACUAUACAGCAGACAACGAACAAGCUAAUCUCAAGCUUCGAGCGAUCGUAAUGUCGCAGUCUGCAGCUACGCCCUAGAUCGUAUUAACUAGCUCUCAAACACAGCCCAGCUACAUAUGCCCACGGCACCAAGCCGUGCUCACCGUUGGCGACGAUGUAGUCGACCUGGGCGGCGAUCUGCUCGUCGGUCAGAGGAGGCAGGUAGGAGAAGGUCUCGAACAUCCUGCGAUCACGCGAUUGACCAGUACUCGUUAGAAGUGGCAGAGCACGUGCGAUGUGAGGCAGCAGGCUGGGCCCCAAGCAAUUGCGUCGCGACUUGCAGAAUCCCUAUCCUUCGGGCUGCGCUUGCUCGUCGACUCACUUGUUGUUGACCGGGGUCCAGACCAUCAUCUGGUUGGCCUGAGCCGGGGCAGCCACGGGGGCAGCCUUGACGGCGGGCUUCAGCGCGGCCAUGGGGCGCACGCUGGAGCGGGCCGGGCGAGCCACGGCCGCGGAGACGGAGGACUUGGCAAUGACGGCGGCCAUUUUAGAUGUUUGAGAAAGUGGUCGAAUGAACGAGUAAGUUCUUGGGACAAAGACUCGGAGGUGGCCGGUCGCCGUUUUCAAUCCCCGCUCGCCGAUGACCCGUACGGCAGGCUUAUCCGACUCGUCGGCUUUCACGACCGCCCGAGCCUGCGCGCUUCAUCCGCUUCCGGAUAGCUUGCUACGAUAAUGCAUUAUUCAAUUUUACGACGCAAUGUCAUGAGCAGCGCCGGGCGGGCUUAUUUACAUGCGUCGCCUCGCUCGCCGUUGACUUGAUACUUUGGAAAUUCGGGCUCGAUUCGUUGCUACAGCCUGCCUUUUGCACACAAUGUGAACGUCGAUUCUACAUUUGUAUGUGACUGAACUUCGCGGCCCCUACUGAACGUUUCGUGCAAGCGACAUGUCGACUCACAACUUGGAGGAACGCGCGAGGGGUCCCCACACGCACUUUCAGCCUGCUUUGGCGAAAUGGACAUGAUAGGUAUAGCCAGGAUAUGGGUCUGCUAGCUCGCCUGGUGUUUUGACCGUCGAUCGGUUUCGCGUUGGGCCUUGCGGCUGCUCGCUCGCCGCGGAUGCUUCCGCACACUGCGCGGCACGUGUUAGUCUGUGCACGACGACGGUUUGUUUGUAUUGCGCCGCCAACGUUCAACGGUGGUGGUAGGUUCGAAUGUCAGAAUGUCGGGCACGGGGACCUUGGGCGCAUUGCCUACAAGCGCGUGCCUGUGUUUUUGGGGGGCAGAGAAGUGAGCCUGCCUAUUGGGUCACAAUAGCACAGAGGCGGGUGGCCAGCGUCGGGAACUGGUUCAGAACGGCUGCAGGGACAGCACCGUGCGUGCGUGUGUGUGUGGGGGGAGCCUUCAAAGUUGACGAGCUUCGCAGCGCUGGGAUGGACUGGCAUUGCGUGCUUGAGUUUGCGUCCCGUGAGAACCCUGCAGUUUAUGGCGGAGACAGGGAAGAGGGAAUGGGAUCGCGCCGGUGCAGGGAAAGGGCACGAAUCUGAGGUUACGGUAUCUGGGGGGAGGUGCCCAUGUGGGAGGGGAAGCCUAACUGCCUGUCUGGGUGCAGACCAGGAAUGGCAACACGUGAACGGUUAGUAGAGAGCUGUGUGCUGUUGGGCGCUCUCGGCAAGGGGCGUGGGAGGGGGCUGGGUUGGUGGGCGGCUGUCCGCACAGUGCCUAGCAGUGCGCACUCAGGCCCUUCGCAGACCGAAGAGGGCGCCAGGGCCUAUGCGCGCGUGGCUUGGCGUGAGGUUCUUGCUGUUGGCGUCAGGCGCCGCAAAAGGCCGGGUGGCUCUGCAGUGUCCUGCUCGCUUGGCGUGCGGCAAAGUGGUUCAGUCAGCGAGCGCAGUGUAUGCGUGUGUGCGUGUAUGCGUGUGCGUGCGUGUGUGUGUGUGUGUGUGUGUGUGUGUGUGUGUGUGUGUGGUUGCUGCGGAGAGGGCACGCAGCGACACGAGAUUGCCAUGCAGUGGUGCAAGCUGCUGGGGUCGGGUAAACGGGGUGGGAAAGUUGGUGAUGGUGGAAUGUUCUUGUGGCACGAACUGGCCUUGUGCGUAUUCGUUCGCCCCGUUCACUCUGGUCCACCAAUCCCACAGUCACUGCACUUAAAUGCCUAAAAGCCCCUGCUACGGUGCGGACAGGGUAAGGCCACGGCAGGUCUAAGUCCAUAUGCGCCCGUAGAGGUUCGAGUGCGUUAACCGGUCGCAAGGUGUUCACAACAUGUUGAUGUGUUGACAACAUGGCUGUGGUCAAGACGUGCCCUGCGAACUUCCCGUGUUUACAUGUUAAUAGAGCUCGCUGACAGCAGUCAUUUGACACCAUUAUGGAAGAAAACAGAGGGGAUUUAGGGGGUGUACGGCACGGUAUGGCACGGUCGGUCGUCGGUCCGGGGGGUCGGGGGGUUCUGCAGGGUGGGGCCUGGAACUAUUGUUCGUACACCCCCGCCUGGCUCCCCUGCUCCCCCUGACUAACCCCUGACCUCUGGCUUUCUUCGCUUUCCUUUCAGUGUCACCAAUUCUCAUGAGUGGGGGCGCACCCCGAAAUAAGCGGGUACGGUGCUUCAGUUCAGUGCUUGCCACGGCCUCAAGAGCCCCAAACCACGUGCACCGAAAUUCGCUUGCACUCCAAAUGCACUGGGAAGCCAGUAGCAGCGCGCUCUCAAAUGCUGGCAUGUGUCUCUCUCUGUCCAGAGCCUGAAUGCGCCAAGUCUGCUACGGUAGGAGGGUGCAACCCGUGGCCCGCCUUGAACCGCGCUUGCACACACAGCUGGAUUGCUGCUGGCAUGACCGUGUGAAAGAGGUACAGGCAGCCGGGCAAGUCCCAGCGGGCAGGUUGGUGUAGGCUAUGCCCCAUAACAGGCCCGUGCAUGCUGCCACGGACUUCUCGCCAGGAAUGUAAGUCCCGAUGCUAGACAAUUACUCCAGCAGCUGCAUGCCGCCAUCUUCAGUACUCGGUAUCCCUUGGUGCACGCAAGUCAAGGAUCAGUCCCAGGGCUCACCCUGGAGCAAUGCAGCCUGCGUGUGCACCUGCGAUGGAGCCGCGGCCUGCGGUAUUGGCUGCCCGAUUACGAAGCUGCGGGUGGGGGCAGUUGGCACGCAUUCCGCCACAGACCCCGCGAGCCUAGCCGCACCCAAGCUCUAAGCGGCCUAGACCGUGACCAAAGGCGAAGAAGCCGCGGCCAUCCCUGCGCUCAGAUUGCAUUGGUUACAAGAGGGACCUGCUGACGCAGUUCAUGGCUUCAUGCGCUCAGAGCCCGAGCCCUGAGCGGCAGCAAAAGCAGAAGCCACGCUACGUGUGCUAGCUACGACCAAUGCCUUGUACAGCUCUCCUCGGCUGCGCUCUUCGGCUGCGCUCCUCGGCUGCGCGGGACAGGGGACUCCGUGCAACCACUAUUGCUUAUAGCCUGCACCAGUCAUUGACGAGUGUUGCGGAACUAAUGCGUACGUAGACCAGAGCGGAAGGCGGAGUGGGCUUGCAGGCGGCACGAGAGUAGGCAGUCAGUAGCGCAAGUUGCGAAUUCCCAUGUUACCUCGUAACCGACGGUAAACGCUGUGGACGGUCGCGCCCAUGGCUGGCUGACGGAAGCUGGCUGCGGUAUUGGGAUGGCUGGGCUGGAUGACGCCGGCCGGGCUGGCGUUGGGACUACCAGAAAGGAUGCGCCCGAAACCAACCUGGAGAACACCAGCGCCACCGGUGCCCAGCACGACAUGUAAGGGAGGGAGGGAGGGACAGGAGGCGUGAUGCACUGCAGCGUAGAAGCUGCAGUCAUGGGCACAGCUUGUACCAUACAGCACGGUCAUCAAGGACACAAUGCCGGAACGGCAUCAUACGAGGCGGGGUUGGGAGCUGCAGGAAGUGGGCAGCGGGGCAGAAUCAAAGGUUUGCAUCGUUUAGAACAGGUGCGGAACACGCGCCAGCGCCAGCGCGGAGGACCCCAAGUAAGGCCUUUACUCACCAAUGUACGUUUUGUACACCCAAUCUCGCCCCCUAUCGACGUUGGCACUAGGUAGCUGGCUAUCAUUCUAUGCAGAUUAAGCAAAGGGGCACCGGGAACAACUGACUCAUGUUCGUCACUGCAGGUUACUGCAAAUGCUGUCUCCACCUUUGCUGCACGGUUCCGUUUCGUCACGUUUGCUGGUGUUGCUACCCGCCGUUCUUUAGUGUGUAACUGAUCUGCGAACCGAGUCCCCUUCAGCUGAUGAACCCCGCAGCAACUUUUCCAAAAGCGCUUCAAAUACGCCCAGCCCGCCCAUGGAGAAAGAGGCCAAAAUCAACGGAGGAUCGUUACAACCAACAAAAUUGCAAAACUCCUCCGCUUUUUACGUGUUGAAAAAGACUGAUCAGCACGAAACGGGGAGCUAAGCUACCGCUUCAGCACUUGAGAGCAGUAUCUUCCAUCCACCGCCGUUCGUCAGGGGGCAAGGCUCAGAUCAACGAGCGCCUCCAUUUACACGGAGCGCUUGUUGGCGGGCUGCCAGUCGCGGGCAGACUUGGGGCGCUGGACCAGGAAGCCCAUGAUCUGCACCUGCUUCUGGUUGUCGAAGGCCACCAGGCGCACGUAGGCAUCGGGGAAGGCCUUGGUGCAGGCGACGAUCUCGCGCAGCACCUGCAUGGGGUCGCGGCAGCCGAACAUGGGCAGCUUCCACAUGGUCCAGUAGCGGUUGUCGUAGUACAGCUGCGGGCGCACGGGAAAUGGGAGGGAGAAGAGGUUCAGUCACCAGCGCACAGAACCACCAAAGAUGGAAUUGGGCCCCUUGCUUUUCCGUGCUGAAGCACGAGCAGGGGUAUGCGUCAGUUCCCCGCGGUGAGAUAGGCGCUGUCCCGGUGCCAAGCUAACCAGUGCCACAGUGGACCCGUGUGCCAAAAGCUAACCCAGUGCCACAGUGGACCCGUCGGGCUCUCGCCAGACUUACGCAAGACACGCUGCCGAAGCGGAUGGCCGACUCGUUGGACACGUAGGCCUUGUCCGACUCAGCGAACUCCAGGCAGGGGAUCCAGCCUGCAAGCAAGGGGAUGAAGGGUGCCGCGAAGGGUGAACGAGGGACAAAGACACGGACAGGAACCGGAUAAGGGGCGGCUUGACCAAGAACUCACGCUCCGACCGCUACUUCGGCAACCCAAAUAAGUGAUUCCACGCUAUGGCUCUGUCGCUGUCGUAUAGCCCGGCUGGUAGCAGCUGGAAAGCUCAAGUGAGGCUGGACAAGCCGCGCUGGCAUGAGUGCAAGCUGUUUGCCCAAGAAAAAGCCGCCGAAAGCCCAGGCUGACUGCAGAUUCCUGACUUGGGCACUGUUCGUUGCUGGAGUGUUGCUCGCAACCCCGCAAGCUCACCGUUGGCGACAAUGUAGUCGACCUGGGCGGCGAUCUGCUCGUCGCUCAGGGGGGGCAGGUAGGAGAAGGUCUCGAACAUCCUGCAAAUGGAAACGGCGACGCAGGGUUAGAUGCUGCUUGAGACAGCGACAGAGGAGCCAAAAGCCUUCGUCGACACAAUGCGGGCGUUGCAAGUCAAAUCUGCAAGCACGCUGCCUGAUCCGCCGGGCUUGCUCGUCGACUCACUUGUUGUUGACCGGGGUCCAGACCAUCAUCUGGUUGGCCUGAGCCGGGGCAGCCACGGGGGCGGCCUUGACGGCGGGCUUCAGCGCGGCCAUGGGGCGCACGCUGGAGCGGGCCGGGCGGGCCACGGCCGCGGAGACGGAGGACUUGGCAAUGACGGCGGCCAUUUUAAGAUGUUGAGUGACUUCUCUU